rnacentral:tRNA from 1 species
GGGGCCAUAGCUCAGUUGGUUAGAGUGCUUCCUUGACAUGGAAGAGGUCACAAGUUCGAAUCUUGUUGGCCCCACCA